rnacentral:rRNA from 1 species
AGGUGGCUAUGGCGGCGGGGUUCCACCUCUUCCCAUUCCGAACAGAGCAGUUAAGCCCGCCAUCGCCGAUGGUACUGCAAUGCAAUGCGGGAGAGUAGGCAGCCGCCG